rnacentral:rRNA from 1 species
ACGGGGUGCAGCAGGCGCGAAACCUCCGCAAUACACGAAAGUGUGACGGGGUUACCCAAAGUGUUCAGUUUUGAACUGUGGUAGGUGAGUAAUGUCCCCUACUAGAAAGGAGAGGGCAAGGCGGGUGCCAGCCGCCGCGGUAAAACCAGCUCUUCAAGUGGUCGGGAUAAUUAUUGGGCUUAAAGUGUCCGUAGCCGGUUUAGUAAGUUCCUGGUAAAAUCGGGUAGCUUAACUAUCUGUAUGCUAGGAAUACUGCUAAACUAGAGGGCGGGAGAGGUCUGAGGUACUACAGGGGUAGGGGUGAAAUCUUAUAAUCCUUGUAGGACCACCAGUGGCGAAGGCGUCAGACUGGAACGUGCCUGACGGUGAGGGACGAAAGCCAGGGGAGCGAACCGGAUUAGAUACCCGGGUAGUCCUGGCCGUAAACGAUGCAUACUAGGUGAUGGCAUGGCCAUGAGCCGUGUCAGUGCCGUAGGGAAACCGUUAAGUAUGCCGCCUGGAAGUACGUCGCAAG